ensembl:snRNA U6 U6 spliceosomal RNA
GUGCUCCUUAUAGCAGCACAUGUGCUAAAACUGGAACGAUACAGAGAACAUGAGCAUCACCCUGGCGCAAGGGUAACCCACAAAUGCGUGGAGCAGUCCCUCUCUCU